rnacentral:rRNA from 1 species
UUGAACGCUUGCGGCAUGCCUUACCCCUGCAAGUCGCACGGCAGCACGGGUGCUUGCACCUGGUGGCGAGUGGCGAACGGGUGAGUAAUACAUCGGAACAUGUCCUGUAGUGGGGGAUAGCCCGGCGAAAGCCGGAUUAAUACCGCAUACGAUCUACGGAUGAAAGCGGGGGACCUUCGGGCCUCGCGCUAUAGGGUUGGCCGAUGGCUGAUUAGCUAGUUGGUGGGGUAAAGGCCUACCAAGGCGACGAUCAGUAGCUGGUCUGAGAGGACGACCAGCCACACUGGGACUGAGACACGGCCCCGACUCCUACGGGAGGCAGCAGUGGGGAAUUUUGGACAAUGGGCGAAAGCCUGAUCCAGCAAUGCCGCGUGUGUGAAGAAGGCCUUCGGGUUGUAAAGCACUUUUGUCCGGAAAGAAAUCCUUGGCCCUAAUACGGUCGGGGGAUGACGGUACCGGAAGAAUAAGCACCGGCUAACUACGUG